GGGUGAGUAACACGUGGGCAACCUGCCCAAAAGAGGGGGAUACACUUUGGAAACAGAUGCUAAUACCGCAUAACAACAAAAGCCACAUGGCUUUUGCUUGAAAGAUGGCUUUGGCUAUCACUCUGGGAUGGACCUGCGGUGCAUUAGCUAGUUGGUAAGGUAAUGGCUUACCAAGGCGAUGAUGCAUAGCCGAGUUGAGAGACUGAUCGGCCACAAUGGAACUGAGACACGGUCCAUACUCCUACGGGAGGCAGCAGUAGGGAAUCUUCCACAAUGGCGCAAGCCUGAUGGAGCAACACCGCGUGAGUGAAGAAGGGUUUCGGCUCGUAAAGCUCUGUUGUUGGAGAAGAACGUGCGUGAGAGUAACCGUUCACGCAGUGACGGUAUCCAACCAGAAAGUCACGGCUAACUACGUGCCAGCAGCCGCGGUAAUACGUAGGUGGCAAGCGUUAUCCGGAUUUAUUGGGCGUAAAGCGAGCGCAGGCGGUUGCUUAGGUCUGAUGUGAAAGCCUUCGGCUUAACCGAAGAAGUGCAUCGGAAACCGGGCAACUUGAGUGCAGAAGAGGACAGUGGAACUCCAUGUGUAGCGGUGGAAUGCGUAGAUAUAUGGAAGAACACCAGUGGCGAAGGCGGCUGUCUGGUCUGCAACUGACGCUGAGGCUCGAAAGCAUGGGUAGCGAACAGGAUUAGAUACCCUGGUAGUCCAUGCCGUAAACGAU
rnacentral:rRNA from 1 species